rnacentral:rRNA from 1 species
UACGGAGGGAGCUAGCGUUAUUCGGAAUUACUGGGCGUAAAGCGCACGUAGGCGGCUUUGUAAGUUAGAGGUGAAAGCCUGGAGCUCAACUCCAGAAUUGCCUUUAAGACUGCAUCGCUUGAAUCCAGGAGAGGUGAGUGGAAUUCCGGAGUGUAGAGGUGAAAUUCGUAGAUAUCAGGAGGAACACCAGUGGCGAAGGCGGCUUCCUGGACACCAACUGACGCUGAGACGCGAAAGCGUGGGGAGCGAUCCGG